CCUCAGUAACGGCGAGUGAAGCGGCAACAGCUCAAAUUUGAAAUCUGGCCCCAGGCCCGAGUUGUAAUUUGCAGAGGAUGCUUUUGGUGCGGUGCCUUCCAAGUUCCCUAGAACGGGACGCCAGAGAGGGUGAGAGCCCCGUACAGUUGGACACCAAGCCUUUGUAAAGCUCCUUCGACGAGUCGAGUAGUUUGGGAAUGCUGCUCAAAAUGGGAGGUAUAUUUCUUCUAAAGCUAAAUACCGGCCAGAGACCGAUAGCGCACAAGUAGAGUGAUCGAAAGAUGAAAAGCACUUUGAAAAGAGGGUUAAACAGCACGUGAAAUUGUUAAAAGGGAAGCGCUUGUGACCAGACUUGCGUCCGGUGAAUCACCCAGCUCUCGCGGCUGGGGCACUUCGCCGGCUCAGGCCAGCAUCAGCUCGCUGUCGGGGACAAAAGCUUCAGGAACGUAGCUCUCUUCGGGGAGUGUUAUAGCCUGUUGCACAAUACCCUUCGGCGGGCUGAGGUACGCGCUCCGCAAGGAUGCUGGCAUAAUGGUCAUCAGCGACCCGUCUUGAAACACGGACCAAGGAGUCAACCUUAUGUGCGAGUGUUCGGGUGUCAAACCCCUACGCGUAAUGAAAGUGAACGCAGGUGAGAGCUUCGGCGCAUCAUCGACCGAUCCUGAUGUUCUCGGAUGGAUUUGAGUAAGAGCAUAUAGGGUUGGACCCGAAAGAAGGUGAACUAUGCGUGUAUAGGGUGAAGCCAGAGGAAACUCUGGUGGAGGCUCGCAGCGGUUCUGACGUGCAAAUCGAUCGUCAAAUAUGCGCAUGGGGGCGAAAGACUAAUCGAACCUUCUAGUA
rnacentral:rRNA from 1 species